CAGAGGUGCAAGCGUUAAUCGGAUUUACUGGGCGUAAAGCGUGUGUAGGUGGUUGGGAAAGUCAAUUGUGAAAUCCCCGGGCUUAACUCGGGAACUGCUUUUGAUACUGUCUGACUAGAAUUCGGUAGAGGGAGGCGGAACUCCAGGUGUAGCGGUGAAAUGCGUAGAUAUCUGGAAGAACACCAAUGGCGAAGGCAACCUCCUGGGCCUGAAUUGACACUGAGACACGAAAGCGUGGGGAGUCAAACAGGAUUAGAUACCCUGGUAGUCCACGCCGUAAACGAUGACAACUUGACGUCGGUUUGCUCUGCGAAUCGGUGUCGUAGCUAACGCGAUAAGUUGUCCGCCUGGGGAGUACGGCCGCAAGGUUG
rnacentral:rRNA from 1 species